rnacentral:misc_RNA from 1 species
UUACGCAAUUCGCAAUGUAAUAUAUGCUACAUACAUUGUCAGGAAGAUCAUUACGUUUUACAAUAUGUCAAGCCAUACAACCUAUGCACAUUAUGAUGUCUAAUUUCUUUUAAAAUGAGAACCGCUGGGUUAGGCAAGUUUCAAGAGAUUUCAAAACAAAGCCAGUAAGCUUAGAAGAAAAGGGCAACCAUAUAAAUCAUCAUUUUAAGUUAGAAAAUUAACUUUUUGAGUUACCACUUACCAGAAGUAUGCCUUCCAAAUAAAAAUAGGUAAAUUGUGUCACUUUCAUUCCAGCUCAUUUACCUACACCUUUUACUAUGUAUCUCGCUUGCAGUAGUACAUUAAAAGGUAAAAAUUCCCCCAAAACAACAAUAACAAACUUAA